rnacentral:rRNA from 1 species
UUGGGCACUCUAGAGGGACUGCCGGCGACAAGUCGGAGAAGUGGGGAUGACGUCAAAUCAUCAUUGCCCCUUAUGACCUGGGCUACACACGUGCUACAAUGGGCGGUACAAAGGGCUGCGAACCCGCGAGGGGGAGCGAAUCCCAAAAAGCCGCUCUCAGUUCGGAUUGCAGGCUGCAACUCGCCUGCAUGAAGCCGGAAUCGCUAGUAAUCGCGGAUCAGCAUGCCGCGGUGAAUACCGGUUCCCGGGCCUU